rnacentral:lncRNA from 1 species
CAACCUUUAUUUGAUUCUUUUGUUAUUUUCAUUUAAUUAUAUAAGAAUUAUUUCAAAAGACAAUAUUAAAUUAGCUUUCUUAUAGAUAGUGUACAGUUUUAACAGUUGUGAGGUAUAUAUCACGGAUACCUUAAUAGUAAUAGUAAAGCAUUUUAACUUUUAGUAAUACGCCUUUUAAAAAAUAAAAUGAAUUCCAGGUAGUAUCUAUGGUAUGAUUGUCACACAUUCAUGUUGCUAUUCUUUCUUGAGUGGGAAAGCAGUGACAGGAAUAAUCCCCUUCCCACACACCCUGCCCCCCCAACUUCCGCCAAAUGCACUUUGCUCCAUUACCUUCUUCACUUUGCUCCAGGAAACUUAGAAUGUAAAGUGAAUAAUUGAACUUCAAAAUGGUAUUGACCCUUGGAAAAGGAAUACAAAUUGUCUCGACUGGAGAUUAGCUAAAUUUUUUCAUCUUGAUGAAUUUUACAAAAUUUAAAGCUCUGUUCAAGGCUUUGAAAGUCACACCCUGAAUAUAGAGUGAAAAUCUAU